GGGAAGGUGGCAGAGUGGUUUAUUGCGUAUGUUUGCUAAACAUAAGUAAAUUUUAAAGGUUUACCGCUGGUUCAAAUCCAGUUCUUUCCG
rnacentral:tRNA from 1 species